UUCAAUUCAGAAUUGCAUACACUCAUCAAGUAGGAAUUCUAUCAGAUGAGCUCUAUGAGGCCAAUAUCUAAAAGCUAAGGUUGAUGGAGGUUUUGGCAGGGACGUGCUGGAGUUUUUGCUGAAAGGAGAUGUGGUUGCUUAUAGAACCAUGGCUACCAGAGUUUCUUGAAAUAGCCCGAAGAUUAACUGAUUGAUAGAGUUGUCGACUUGUGUUGCAGCUGCAGCAGUGUCAUUUAUACAAUUUUUCCCUAAAAUGAAGGCGCAAUACGAUUAUGGUUUGUUGAUGUUUAUAUUGACAUUCAGUUUGGUAUCUGUAAUGGGCUAUCCUCAACCAUCCUCAUUGGUAGUGCCACAGCUGUGUUUGUAUCCAUAGGCAUCUACCCAAUGUGGGCUGGUGACGAUCUUUACAAUCUGGUUGCUGGCAAUGUUGAAAAGCUUGGGAACUUCUUAGAAGGAUUUUCAGGGAAAUAUCUUAGAGUCUCAGGAGAUGGAGAAUCCAAGGAUAGCAAAACAAUUCUUCAAGGAUACAAAAGUAUUUUGACUUCAAAAAUCACUGAAGAUUCCUUGCUUGAGAUCCCUUCUGGACAUAUAUACAACAGAUCUUUCACUUGGACAUAUAUACAAAGGACUCCUAGUUUCUGUUAGUCUCAAGUCAUAGAUUGAUUUUGACUACAAUUGAUUCUGGUAGCAAGGCUCUUGAAUUUCCGAGGCUUGAAAAUGACCCAAACACAAUGAUUGUUUCUCCAAACAGUCAUUAGGUAUGGUUUACAUGAGUGAAGAUUUUUUGGAGGUGCAACUUGAUGGAUAUUGGCCCGCAAAAUUUGGCAUGGAUUCAACCAGAAAUGAACUGGCUUUGGUAUCAAUGGAGCAUCCAAGAUCCUCUGCAUCAAUUACAGGAGGCCCAACCCUGUUAAAUGGUUAUUCAACAGUUCAUACCUCCAAUUUUUUUUGUUGUGACACAGUGGCUUAUUAAUCACCCCAAGUUUCAGAAAAAUCCACUUUACAUCAGUGGUGACUCAUAUUCAGGCAUAAUCAUCCCCAUGGUGGUUCAAGAAAUAUAUAUCCAAUGGUAAUGAUGCAGGGAAAGAGCCAAAAAAUGAAUAUUCAAGGAUACACCAUUGGAAACCCAAUAACAAAUCACUUUAGUGACUUCAAUUCAAGAAUUGCAUACACUCAUCAAGUAGGAAUUCUAUCAUAUGAGCUUUAUGAGGCCAAUAUCUAAAAGCUAAGGUUGAUGGAGGAUUUGGCAGGGACAUGCUGGAGUUUUUGUUGAAAGGACAUGUGGUUGCUUAUAGAACCAUGGUUACAAGAGUUUCUUGAAAUAGCCUGAAGAUUAUUUGAUUGAUAGAGUUGUCGACUUGUGAUGCAGUUGCGUUUGCUGAAAGAUUAUCUAAAUGGCAGUGUCGAUAUGAUUAUGGUUUGCUGAUGUUUAUAUUGACAUUCAGUUUGGUAUCUGUAACGGGCUAUCCUCAACCAUCCUCAUUAGUAGCACCACAGCUGUGUUUGUAUCCAUAGGCAUCUGCCCAAUGUGGGCUGGUGAUGAUCUUCACAAGUUGGUUGCUGGCAAUGUUGAAAAGCUUGGGAACUUCUUAGAAGGAUUUUCAGGGGAAUAUUUUAGAGUCUUAGGAGAUGGAGAAUCCAAGGAUAGCAAAACAUUUCUUCAAGGAUACAAAAGUAUUUUGACUUCAAAAAUCAUUGAAGAUUCCUUGUGCUAAACACAAGGUAGAAUUGGAGCUUUGUGCAAAAAAAAUGCCAAACACUUCCAUGAUCUUAGACUUCUUCAAAGGUUGGGAAAAAUGCAAGCUCUGGAAUGCAUUUCGUGAACAUAUGGGGACAUUGAACAGAUGCCUUGUCCCCAGAAGUCUCCAAGUGAGUAAUGAAAGGAUAUAAAACUGAUUUCCAUGAAGGAUGAAAGUCUCUCUACUGUAUCAGCAAUCGAUGAACCAGUGCAUGCAAUCAUCGUGUUUUCUUCUACAAAUCUAUGUGUGAAAAUUGGUUGGCCACGUAAGCAAAGUUAGUUGAUUAACUAACUGAAAGUGUGAGCUGGCACACCUGUUUGCUUAGCAUUUUUUUUCAUGUACUCGUGUAUAAAAAUGUGAAGAAAAAAAAGGAGAUUUUUGAAUUGUAGAAAAGAAGUGAGAGGAUUUUAGAGUGAGUCUUCUUCACUGUUCUGUAGCGAGAGCUUGAUGGUUCUCAGAGAUUCUUGAGGGUGUAAAAUGGUUCAAUCUUAGUGGAUUUUUGGAGGUGAUCUUGAUCCGUGGAUGUAGGAUUCAAUCUUGGAUCCGAACCACGUAAAUCCUGCUUGUUUUGUUAUGUUUUGAUAUUAGAUAUUAUUUUCUUUUGAUUUAUGGUUUUGUUUUCUUUGUCUU